CACGCAGGCGCAAAGGCUGGCGUUCGAGGUUCGUUUACGCGCCGCUCCGCCGUGCAGGUGGUGGCGAAGCGCUCCUCCGAAAGGUUUCGGAAGCCGGUGGUAGCUCUGAAGAUAACGCUGCGUUAGGGCAUACUGCGGCGGAGGAUGGAACUCCGAUUGAAAGCAGUUGCUGGAGUGGAGCACGAAUUUCAAAAAGCUGCAUGUUGAAGUGUGAGGCGUGAAAGGAUAUGUCUGAUAUUUGCUUUAAAAUGCUCCAGCAAAGAAAUUAAGGGAUGGAUG
rnacentral:lncRNA from 1 species